GGGGAGGGUCGUAGCUCAGUGGUAGGGCAUCUGCUUUGCAUGCAGAAGGUGCCAGAUCCGACCCCUCCCCUCCCCG